rnacentral:lncRNA from 1 species
CGGAGCCUGACCGCAAUGCUGACCGGUCGCAUGCUACAGAGGCUCCUGCUGAAUCCAACCUGAAAUGGCAGAAAUCAUGGAUUCACCACAGAUAACAGGGAGGAGAAGUCCACUACUGUGCAUGGGAACUGGUGGGCGCCACCGCGGGCUCCGAGAUCGGGAGUUUUGGGGCCCCUGUGGUACUUGCAAGGCUUGCAAGCCUUGCUGUUGCACCAAGACCCUGUGACAUGUCCCGCAGGCCCCGUUCCCUCCACCUUGGGCCGAAAGGGUCAUCCCGGUCCCCACUGGUGGGAGCUGACUCUCCGCAGUGUGCCCCCACAAAGCACACAAAUAGCGCCGGAGCACAUGUGCCCUGCCUGCAACAUGGAUGGCUCAAAGCCCACACCAGGCACGACUAUACUCACUACUCACGGGCAGCACUGCGGAGGGAAGCAUAUAAUUUUCACCCUGGGACUAAGCUGGGGGGGCUCUCUCAUCACUCCCCCUAAGUAAUCCUGGACUGUCUAACCUCCGUGCCUAAGGCUUGGGCCUGGUUCCCACGACAGCCUUCCUGAGCCUUGAACCCUUGAGGACACCCCUCAAACUGCAGCCCAACACCUGGACUGACCACACUUACCAGGCAUUCCAUUACCGGACAUUCAUGGAACCGGAAGCGAGGACACAGAUGGUUGGCUCAUGCAGAGCCCGGGGCUGGCCGCGUGGCAUAAGCCAGACCCACCCUCCUAGCGGGACUCAGCUAACUCUCCAACCAGGUCGGAGGCAGAGAAACCACAAGCCCGGGAGAUCUAUCACGCCUAACAACUUAUCGCCUACAGCAGCCCAGCGGCGCAGGACCUGGGGAACGGAGUGACUUACCCAAGAAAACCCAGUGGAGUUUAUUAGCUUGGUUUUUCAGUUCACAUGUUUAUUCUUACCUUAUAAUUGCUCUAAGCUAUAUCUCUCGAACCUUAACAGUUCAGAUAUGUACCAUGUUGUUGUGUAAUGAUUAUCUGAUCACUAACUGACAUGUCCUGCAUACCCAUGUCUUAUUGAUCCUCAAACAGUAUGCAAAUCACCUUCAUUGUAUUAGACAAGUGCGAAGGUGCCUGCCAAUGUCUAGCCUGAACAAACCGACGUACACUGCCGCAGUGCACUAAGCCCCUCGUAGCUAUAUCUUAUGUCAGAAUACGCACCAGGUUACCCUAUAAUGACUGCUCACCCACUCAUGGUCGUAUGUCGCAUUGCUUACAUAUAGUGCAGCACCACACCGAGCCAUGAUCUAAUCUAACCUGCGUUAAACCACUGCUAUACGUUUAAGCCUGUUGUCCCUAUGCAAAAAAAAUGCAAUUAUUCAUACCAAUAUCUAGUCUGAAUAUUCUUGAACUGUCUGAAAUCUUUUGUUUAAAAAUGCAUCUCUUACCUUGACAUAAUCUUUUAAUAUUUAGCUUGAUAUAAUAUUAAAUUGUGCUGUUUACCCGCAUGCCAUGUCAAUCUACUGUUCAUACUAAGCCUACGGUUGCUGUUGUGGCACUGCAAGAUUAAAUGUUGUUUGUUUUCACAUGCACAAUAAAAAUAAAGAAUAAAAAAAAAAAAAAACUCCAGUUUUUAAAGGUAAAAACCACCAGAGCUUGCAAGCCCUGAAAGAUGCCUCUCUUGACUUAAAGAAGUGUCAGGUUGAUUGGGUAUCAGAUUGGAAAUGCGCAUGAGUUAUUCC